rnacentral:rRNA from 1 species
UAAGGAAUAUUGGGCAAUGGGCGCGAGCCUGACCCAGCCAUGCCGCGUGCAGGAAGACGGCCUUAUGGGUUGUAAACUGCUUUUGUCAGGGGAUAAACCUAUCUACGAGUAGAUAGCUGAAGGUACCUGAAGAAUAAGCAUCGGCUAACUCCGUGCCAGCAGCCGCGGUAAUACGGAGGAUGCGAGCGUUAUCCGGAUUCAUUGGGUUUAAAGGGUGCGCAGGCGGGGCAUUAAGUCAGUGGUGAAAUAAGACGGCUCAACUGUCUGGCUGCCAUUGAUGCUGAUGUUCUAGAGUGUAAUUGGAGUGGGCGGAAUGUGUCAUGUAGCGGUGAAAUGCUUAGAUAUGACACAGAACACCGAUGGCGAAGGCAGCUCACUAAGUUAAUACUGACGCUCAUGCACGGAAGCGUGGGGAUCAAACAG